CAAUAGCGUAUAUUAAAGUUGUUGCAGUUAAAAGCUCGUAGUCGGAUUUUGGCAUCACGCCGUACUGUCUGCCGAUUGGUAAGUACGGUUUGGCGGGUGCUCUCCUUCCGGAGGCUCGUUUCCCUUCUUCAUUGAAUGGGAUUGCUGAUGGUUCCGGGGUUCCGUUUUAUCUUUGAAAAAUUAGAGUGUUCAAAGCAGGCCUAUGCUCUGAAUAGGUUAGCAUGGAAUAAUAGAAUAGGACUUUGGUUCUAUUUUGUUGGUUUCUAGGACCGAAGUAAUGAUUAACAGGGACAGUUGGGCAUUGCAUAUUUCCAUUGUCAGAGGUGAAAUUCUUGGAUUAACGGAAGAUGAACUUCUGCAGAAAGCAUCUGCCAAGGAUGUUUUCAUUGAUCACGAACGAAAGUU
rnacentral:rRNA from 1 species